rnacentral:rRNA from 1 species
GAUGAACGCUAGCGGCAGGCUUAAUACAUGCAAGUCGAGGGGCAGCACGGUUAGCAAUAACUGGUGGCGACCGGCGCACGGGUGCGUAACACGUAUACAAUCUACCUUAAACAGGGGGAUAGCCUUUCGAAAGAGAGAUUAAUACCCCGUAAUAAAUUGAACGGCAUCGUUUGAUUUUGAAAGCUCCGGCGGUUUGAGAUGAGUAUGCGUCUGAUUAGCUAGUUGGUGAGGUAACGGCUCACCAAGGCGACGAUCAGUAGGGGAUCUGAGAGGACUAACCCACCACUGGUACGUAGAGACACGGACCGACGACUCCUACGGGAGGGCAGCAGUAAGGAAUAAUUGGUUCGAAUAGGAGGGCGAACUA